rnacentral:miRNA from 1 species
CCAGCAGCACGGUCAAUACUG